UAGGGAAUCUUCCGCAAUGGACGCAAGUCUGACGGAGCAACGCCGCGUGAGUGAAGAAGGAUUUCGGUUCGUAAAACUCUGUUGUUAGAGAAGAACAGCGCAUAGAGUAACUGUUAUGCGUGUGACGGUAUCUAACCAGAAAGCCACGGCUAACUACGUGCCAGCAGCCGCGGUAAUACGUAGGUGGCAAGCGUUGUCCGGAUUUAUUGGGCGUAAAGCGAGCGCAGGCGGUCAAUUAAGUCGGAUGUGAAAGCCCCCGGCUCAACCGGGGAGGGUCAUUGGAAACUGGUUGACUUGAGUGCAGAAGAGGGGAGUGGAAGUCCAUGUGUAGCGGUGAAUUGCGUAGAUAUAUGGAGGAACACCAGUGGCGAGGGCUACUCUCUGGUCUGUAACUGACGCUGAGGCUCAAAAGCGUGGGUAGCAAACAGG
rnacentral:rRNA from 1 species